UACGUAGGGUGCGAGCGUUAAUCGGAAUUACUGGGCGUAAAGCGUGCGCAGGCGGUUGUGUAAGACAGGUGUGAAAUCCCCGGGCUUAACCUGGGAACUGCGCUUGUGACUGCACAGCUAGAGUAUGGCAGAGGGGGGUGGAAUUCCGCGUGUAGCAGUGAAAUGCGUAGAGAUGUGGAGGAACACCGAUGGCGAAGGCAGCCCCCUGGGCCAAUACUGACGCUCAUGCACGAAAGCGUGGGGAGCAAACAGG
rnacentral:rRNA from 1 species